AACCAAAACCUAAGCAUGAUAAUUGGGUUUUCAUGCUAUUGUACAAGUAUAAUAUGUGCCUUCCUCAAAACUUGUUAUGACAUCAUCACAUCACCCAUCUGAUG
ensembl:snoRNA